rnacentral:rRNA from 1 species
CCGCUCCCGGUAAAACGGGACGGCCCGCCAGAGGACCCCUAAACUCUGUUUCUAUAUGUAACUUCUGAGUAAAACCAUAAAUAAAUCAAAACUUUCAACAACGGAUCUCUUGGUUCUGGCAUCGAUGAAGAACGCAGCAAAAUGCGAUAAGUAAUGUGAAUUGCAGAAUUCAGUGAAUCAUCGAAUCUUUGAACGCACAUUGCGCCCGCCAGUAUUCUGGCGGGCAUGCCUGUUCGAGCGUCAUUUCAACCCUCAAGCACAGCUUGGUGUUGGGACUCGCGUUAAUUCGCGUUCCUCAAAUUGAUUGGCGGUCACGUCGAGCUUCCAUAGCGUAGUAGUAAAACCCUCGUUACUGGUAAUCGUCGCGGCCACGCCGUUAAACCCCAACUUCUGAAUGUUGACCUCGGAUCAGGUAGGAAUACCCGCUGAACUUAAGCAUAUC